rnacentral:lncRNA from 1 species
UAAUUUUUUCUUUUUCAAAUAUAUAUAUAUAUAAUAACUAACAACUAUAAUUAAGAGAUUUUUGUUAGAUUGUUGGUGCUAACCAUUAAUUCUAAAGGCUGGAGUUGUUAGAAAUACGCAACUAAUUCACUAAGAAUAUACAGAUACAGUGCCCACGGAUCUCGAUUGUGACUCAGUCCAUCCAACCUUUCGUCAUUUCGAAUAUUACUCAGUUCAACAUGGCACACUUAAAGCAUACAAAUAUAACGCCCACAGGUCUCGAUUGUGACCUGGCCCACCCAACCUUACGCCACUUCGAGUAUGACUCGGCUCAACAUGGCAUUCCGCCACAGAGCAGGAUGCGGGCUUAUUUAAGCCAACAAUCUCCCCCCCCUAAGUACCUGCAUACAUUUGCUAUUUGCAACAUGCGGGAAUCGAAACAGUAAUUUCUGGUUCUGAUACCACUUGUCAGAUCGUUGGCGCUAACCAUUAAUCCCAAAAGCUCGAACUGUUAAAAAUAAGCAACUAAUUUACUUAAAAUAUACAAAUACAGCGCCCACGGAUCUCAAUUGUGACUUGGCCCAUCCAGCCUAAAGACACUUCAAACAUGAUUCGAUCCACCUAACCUCACGGUAUUUUGAACAUGACUCGGCCCAAUGUAAUCUCCUGCCACGGGGCGAAAAUUUUUCAACUAAAAUUAUAAUUUUCUAUUAACUAAAAAUUAUACUUCUGGCCUUUU